rnacentral:lncRNA from 1 species
GGGCUAAUAGGGGGUGCUAGGGAAUUUAGCAGUUGACAACUUUUAAGGAAAAAAUGUUCAAACUCCUAUAGGUACUUUCCACUAAAGAAACAAUUUGUAGAAAUCCUAUCAAUGUGAGUAAUGAAAAAUCACUAAGCCAAAGCCAAUCAGAAGAUAAGAGGGUUCGUCUUCACCCAAAUGUGAGACGACUCUUUCCUCGAACAAACGAGAUUGGAGGAGCCAUUUAAACUGCUUGAUAUGUGAGAAAAUGGAUCAGCGGCUGGAGGAAAUAUAUAGGAGUAAAUCCUUUUCAUCAUCUUUUCGAAAGAUAGAACUCAAGCCUAUCUCUUUAUGGUGACCUUUGGCCACUAGCAUUAGCCAGUUGCCCUUUGCCUCAAAGAUGGGCUUGAAAAAGUAUAAUGUGACCCUAUUAAGAUCGCCUGAUCGCGUUAUUGUACUUUCUGACACCAUGAGGGAAAGUGCCCAAAUAAGAGCAUUUGGCUUAUCAAGAAGCACUCAAAUUCACCUACGAAAAAGACAACCUCUUUGUUUUAUUGACUUUUCUUCUUUUAGGUUUUGGUGUUUGGUGGUUGAUCGUCUCCGAGGAAUUAUUAGUUCGACCGGACUCUUGCUGUUGUCCAGAAUAGAUUACAGAACUCAAAGAAGC